CAGUAGUGAGGAAAGGUGUAUAGUUAAUAGCAUUACACUGUGACGGUUAGCUACAGAAGAAGCACCGGCAAACUCCGUGCCAGCAGCCGCGGUAAUACGGAGGGUGCGAGCGUUAAUCGGAAUUACUGGGCGUAAAGCGCGCGUAGGCGGUUAUUUAAGUGAGGUGUGAAAUACCCUGGGCUCAACCUAGGAACUGCAUUUCAAACUGGAUAACUUGAGUAUGUCAGAGGGUAUUGGAAUUUCCCCGUGUAGCAGUGAAAUGCGUAGAUAUGGGAAGGAACAUCAGUGGCGAAGGCGAAUACCUGGGAUAAUACUGACGCUGAGGUGCGAAAGCGUGGGGAGUAAACGGGAUUAGAUACCCUGGUAG
rnacentral:rRNA from 1 species